UGUGAAUUUGAUGCAAAUUUUAACUCACCCCCGGACUUCCAGGCGGCGCUGAUGUCGCUUCUCUACAUGCAUAGCUUGUAUCACUGAUUUUAACAUACACAACUAAAGAUAUCGUGACGUCAUGUUCCCGCGAAAUUUGUCGCCGCUUUUUCAAUUGUUUCAAAAUUUAAAGAGACAAAAGAAUUAUGGCGCACAUGGUUGCACAUGGUGACAGCGUGGGUGACUGAAUUUCCAGGUUCGUGAAUUCCAUUAUUAUAAUAAUUACUAUUAUUAUUAUUUAAAAAGAUAUUUUUUAAAAUUUUUUCUAGGUUUUUAGGUUUUUAAUAACUUCUACUGAUGAGAUGCAGCAGAAGAAGAUAGAAAUUAAGAUGUUCUCCUUCACUCAAGAGAAAAAGGAUAAGAAGAGGAUGGCGCAGUGGAUGGAAGUACGUGGUAACCCAAAGUCAGUGCUUCCACUUGAAAACUGAAUUUCUGGAUGAUCUGUAACAGCUAUUUUGAAGAAAAAUACUUUGUGAGAAAAAGAUUAACAACAUCAGCAGUUCCCGCACUGAACUUACUUGUGUCUGAGGCUGCCUUUAUUAAAAUAGAGCAACAAGACAUCUGGAUGCAAAUGAAAAGAAGAAAAAGAAGAAGAUUGUAAGUAUCCAGUUUACAUAUACAAUAUAUAAAAGCAUUAACAUGGUAUUAAUACACUGAGGUAUACAUAAUAAUACUUCUAGCAUGAAGUGUAUGUAUAAUAUUAUAUAAUUUUGUUCUUAUAGUUAAACCUGACCACCAGGGGUCAGUAAAAGUAGUAAAAGUUUAAUAUAUGGAAAUGUAUUAUGGAAAUUACUCCACAUAUAUUGUUAUAAUUUUUUCCCUUUCAUUAUUUUUAUUUUUCAAAGUUUUGAAUGGGUAAGACUAUGCACACGUAUAUAGGGAGCAUAUGCUUGUGUGCGUAUCUCACUGAUAUAAUUUCUAUGUGUUUGUAGCGACACCAGCGCUACCUAGAAUUCCGGGGGUGAACUAAUUUUCGUUACAGUAUUAAAUACGGGAGUUUGGCCUGGGACAAAUUUUUACCCUCUCCACGACGCACAGUGGCGAAUUUGCCCGAAUUCGUGGCCAAAAUUAAUAUCUUGG